rnacentral:rRNA from 1 species
GACGAACGCUGGCGGCGUGCUUAACACAUGCAAGUCGAACGAUGAAGCCGGAGCUUGCUCUGGUGAAUUAGUGGCGAACGGGUGCGUAACACGUGAGUAACCUGCCCUUGACUCUGGGAUAACUGCGGGAAACUGUAGCUAAUACCGGAUACGACCCUCGGAGGCAUCUCCUGGGGGUGGAAAGAAUUUCGGUCAAGGAUGGACUCGCGGCCUAUCAGCUAGUUGGUGAGGUAAAGGCUCACCAAGGCGACGACGGGUAGCCGGCCUGAGAGGGUGACCGGCCACACUGGGACUGAGACACGGUCCAGACUCCGACGGGAGGCAGCAGUGGGGAAUAUUGCACAAUGGGCGCAAGCCUGAUGCAGCAACGCCGCGUGAGGGAUGACGGCCUUCGGGUUGUAAACCUCUUUUAGCAGGGAAGAAGCGAAAGUGACGGUACCUGCAGAAAAAGCACCGGCUAACUACGUGCCAGCCGCCGCGGUAA